rnacentral:rRNA from 1 species
AUGUGGCUUGCGGUGCACAGAAAAUGCCUCACGGCGGACAACCUUGAGAAGAGAAACUGGCCUUCCAAUGGCUCGUGCCCUCUUUGCAUUACAGAGCCAGAGGAUUGCACACACCUCUUCGUCCAAUGCCGCUUCACGCAGCAAUUGUGGCAGCGUUUCAAAGCUUGGACCAGCAUUGACUUUGUGACUCCUGAUAGCACUUUUUCCUCCACCCAGGGAUGGUAGCUGCAAGCUAGGGCGGCUAUACCUAAGCACUUGCAGAGAAAUUUCGAUACGGUGGUCAUCCUGCUGCAUUGGAGGGUAUGGAGAAAAAGGAAGGUCAGGAUCUUCGAUCAUGUCACCAGCUCACUAGAUAGAGUUUUGGACUUAAUCAAGGAAGACCUGACCAUGUGGAGAGCCGCAGGAUGUAUCAUUGUUCUGCCUACUUAA